rnacentral:rRNA from 1 species
CAGUCGCCGCGGGAAUACAGAGGGUGCAAGCGUUACUCGGAAUUACUGGGCGUAAAGCGUGCGUAGGUGGUUGUUUAAGUCUGCUGUGAAAGCCCUGGGCUCAACCUGGGAAUUGCAGUGGAUACUGGGCGACUAGAGUAAGGUAGAGGAUAGUGGAAUUUCCGGUGUAGCAGUGAAAUGCGUAGAGAUCGGAAGGAACAUCUGUGGCGAAGGCGACUAUCUGGGCCAUUACUGACACUGAGGCACGAAAGCGUGGGGAGCAAACAGGAUUAGAUACCCCAGUAGUCCCUGUCUCUUAUAA